GCUUCCCAGCUGGCUGAGCACUGGUUUAUAGACUUCUGUGUACAAAUUUAGCCAGCAGCAAACCUCACAUCUUUAAUAUAAAAGGUGUUUUGUUGUGUUUUUCAGGUGCUGAGUGGAAAGCCCACACUCCAGAAGCUCAUUAAAAGGGCCAAGUUACAGUACAGGUUUAUUUCUGUCACAGCGUUUCUGAAAACAGUGACAAGGAUUAAUAUGUUUCUUUAGUACUGGAAAAAGCCUGACACAAUCCCUUGUGAAUUUGAUCAUCUGUUUCAUUGCCUGUAGAAGAUUCAGCUUCCUAUUAUAUCUGAAAGUUACAGCUGUAAACUACUACUGGGAAAUAAUGUCAAUAGGAAUUAAAAGCCAGAAAGUACUGUCUCCAUAUCAGUUAAAAUGCUAUGAUACUUUUGUAAAAGGAACUUAAUAUUGUAAGAAUGGGGAAAAUGUUGGAAAUUCUAAGUAUUGCCCUCUUUUAUUGUCUUGACAUUCAAACCAGUGAAUCAGAUACAUGCUGUAAUGUGCUGAAGAGUAGCUGCCCUGAGUUCAAACUACCUCUGAAAGUUAAAAAUAAGUUAAUGAUUGAUUGUCUAUGAAUAAAGAAUGUUGCCGAUCACAGUGUUUUGUGAAGACACAGAAUAAAGUG
rnacentral:lncRNA from 1 species